CUUGGUCAUUUAGAGGAAGUAAAAGUCGUAACAAGGUCUCCGUUGGUGAACCAGCGGAGGGAUCAUUACUGAGUUUACGCUCUAUAACCCUUUGUGAACAUACCUAUAACUGUUGCUUCGGCGGGUAGGGUCUCCGCGACCCUCCCGGCCUCCCGCCUCCGGGCGGGUCGGCGCCCGCCGGAGAAUAACCAAACUCUGAUUUAACGACGUUUCUUCUGAGUGGUACAAGCAAAUAAUCAAAACUUUUAACAACGGAUCUCUUGGUUCUGGCAUCGAUGAAGAACGCAGCGAAAUGCGAUAAGUAAUGUGAAUUGCAGAAUUCAGUGAAUCAUCGAAUCUUUGAACGCACAUUGCGCCCGCCAGCAUUCUGGCGGGCAUGCCUGUUCGAGCGUCAUUUCAACCCUCAAGCUCUGCUUGGUGUUGGGGCCCUACAGCUGAUGUAGGCCCUCAAAGGUAGUGGCGGACCCUCCCGGAGCCUCCUUUGCGUAGUAACUUUACGUCUCGCACUGGGAUCCGGAGGGACUCUUGCCGUAAAACCCCCCAAUUUUCCAAAGGUUGACCUCGGAUCAGGUAGGAAUACCCGCUGAACUUAAGCAUAUCAAUAAGCGGAGGA
rnacentral:rRNA from 1 species